CUCAAAGGCCAUACCACCCUGAGAAUGCCCAAUCUCUUCUGAUCUCAGAAACUAAGCAGGGUCAGGCCUGGUUAGCACUUGGAAGGGAGACCCUUAGGAAUAUUGGGUGCGGUAGGCU
rnacentral:rRNA from 1 species